AUGGAGACGCGGGUUAUUUUCGGGUUUUGGAUAGUGAAUCUCCUAGGUGCUGCACUGGGCGACUCGGUCGGUCCGGUCCAAGGUGCGGUGCUGAGCGACUCGGUCCAGUCCGAGGAAACCCAGGUGUCCGGAGCUGAAGGAGACGCUGUGACACUCCGCUGUUCUUACACUACUAGCUAUACUGGGUCUGUCUAUCUCCACUGGUACCGCCAGGAUCCGAACCAAGGCCUGCAGUACAUUCUCUGGAGAGGAGCCCAGGAUGCCAGAGCUUUCAGUGACACCGCAGAUUUCGCCCAGGAGAGGUUUUCUUCCCAGGUUGACGACAGCUCCACAGGUUUAAACAUCACAGCCCUGGAGGUGGCGGACGGAGCGGUGUAUUAUUGCGCCCUGGGUCUGGCACCGUGA